rnacentral:rRNA from 1 species
CCUAUAAGACUGGGAUAACUUCGGGAAACCGGAGCUAAUACCGGAUAACAUUUAGAACCGCAUGGUUCUAAAGUGAAAGAUGGUUUUGCUAUCACUUAUAGAUGGACCCGCGCCGUAUUAGCUAGUUGGUAAGGUAACGGCUUACCAAGGCGACGAUACGUAGCCGACCUGAGAGGGUGAUCGGCCACACUGGAACUGAGACACGGUCCAGACUCCUACGGGAGGCAGCAGUAGGGAGUCUUCCGCAAUGGGCGAAAGCCUGACGGAGCAACGCCGCGUGAGUGAUGAAGGGUUUCGGCUCGUAAAACUCUGUUAUUAGGGAAGAACAAAUGUGUAAGUAACUGUGCACAUCUUGACGGUACCUAAUCAGAAAGCCACGGCUAACUACGUGCCAGCAGCCGCGGUAAUACGUAGGUGGCAAGCGUUAUCCGGAAUUAUUGGGCGUAAAGCGCGCGUAGGCGGUUUCUUAAGUCUGAUGUGAAAGCCCACGGCUCAACCGUGGAGGGUCAUUGGAAACUGGGAAACUUGAGUACAGAAGAGGAAAGUGGAAUUCCAUGUGUAGCGGUGAAAUGCGCAGAGAUAUGGAGGAACACCAGUGGCGAAGGCGACUUUCUGGUCUGUAACUGACGCUGAUGUGCGAAAGCGUGGGGAUCAAACAGGAUUAGAUACCCUGGUAGUCCACGCCGUAAACGAUGAGUGCUAAGUGUUAGGGGGUUUCCGCCCCUUAGUGCUGCAGCUAA